UCCAAACUUAUUUUUCGGCCACUUCCUACCAGACUUGGAUUUCUGCAACGCUCAUCAUCUGCGAACGCUUUCUCACUGGAGUUUCGAUUCAGAUUCGGUCCUGGUCUAGGGCCGCGUUCGCUACGCGCCAGAGCUCUGAAGAUCCUGUCAGAGGCCGAUGUUAUCAUUGCCGUGCUCGGUAGCUAAGCGAUGCAGCGGGAAUCGUCGUGGGACGGUGGCCGAUCUGUUCAUGAGCUAGAGCCCCCAGGACCGUUGUUAUUCCUUCCACUGCUUUUACUUCAAGGAGGCGUAUGGAUCUUUCUAGGGUUGGUGAGAAAAUCUUCAGCUCGUCUGUUCUGCUCGCUCACUUGGCUUCCUCCCAUCUACGUCCGAUCGCCCUGAGAUGGCAGUGUCACGGCUGUGUUGCUAGAGAUAUCAAAAUGUGGGUGACUGAACUCGGUUCCUGAAAGGGUAGCUACAGCUGCUGCUGCAGCUCGAGCUCUUGUAGGGCUUCCCCCACAUGAAAGGAUUGCCCUCAGAUCAAAUUCUGAGGAUAUUACUUUCCUAUAUGGAAGGAAUGGUCAAACCCUUGAGGUGCUUGAAGAGGAGUUCUAUGAGGAGGAUUUUGAUCCCGUUAAGUAUAUUUUGGAGCACAUUCAAUCCGGAGAGAGUGACACUGUGUAUUUUGAGAAGAAGGCCACUCUUAGGUUAGCACAACUUGAUAAAAUAGCAGCACGCAAUGUUGUGGAGCACCAUGAAGAGUUGGGGAAUCUUUUCUACAAAGAGAGAUGUAUCAUUACUUCCUUUCUGGUAUCUAAAUUUCUGUCAUCGAGGUUUUCUCUAGGGAAAAAUUUGUUCCUUCUUUGACGUGAGAUAUAUGAGGUUACUCAUAUUUGAAGCUUUCCAGGAAAGUGCCUUACUUUUCAGAGCGAGCGAACAAGUUCUUUUGACAUUCCCCAUCACAUUUGCUGAUAUUAUUAUUUUUUUCAUUCAUAAUAAAUGGAUUUUUUUUUUAUCAUCACUUAAUUCGGAAAAUUCAAAAUUUUAUUCUAGAGACAUCUGUCACAAAAGAAAUUGGCUUACAAAGUUGAAAUGUACCUGUGACACAUGAGAUAUAAUCAUGAAUAGCUGUUCUAUUUAGAAAAGGGGACGAACAUGAGUUUAAGGGUAGAUUACUAGCAUAUAAUUUCAGG